UCCCUUUAGAUUCUAAAAUGCUUAAUUUAAAAAGUCUUCAAAAUGUUUAUUCAGUUAGUCUUUCCCUGAGGAAUUCCUGGGAUAGAAGUGUUCCAUUCCAAACCCUGAGAUAGACAUACCUCUGGAUCAAGGUGUUUAAGAAGCUCCUCAAAGAAGGAAAUGGCCAGGACACAAAGGAGCUCCUCUGUUCCAGCGCUUGAGGACCCGGAUUCCGCCCCCAACCUUCCCCCCCCGCCCCCCCCCCCCUCCCGCGGUGAGUGAGAGCGCGAGCGAGGGACUUGGGGCUCAGUCCCAGACACUACGUCGACAGGUGAGGCCCCAGAUGUUGGUACUUAAGCGUUGGCUGCCUAGGGCUCACAGGGCUAUGUGGCAGCUGCGGAACGGAGGUUGGCGAUUAAGUGAGGACGGAAAGCACAGAGAAGCUGCCGGCAAGGCAAGCAGCUGAUUCAGGCCAGGAGGCAGAAAGGUGGUGGGCAGAAGAACACUCUAUACCUGGGGCCUAUAUGGACCCACCACCGUCGAUUACUGCAUCCCCACCUCCAGCCUAUAGCUUUCCCGUGCGGACCAGCCCCCUUUCUGAGGACGCCGCCAUUGCCUUCGCUCCAGUCCAUUCCAGACCCUCAGUGCCACUCGCAUCCGUCCCACCUCUGCUCCCAGGGCCGCCGCCGUGGCUCAGGCGCUCGAAGACGGCCGGACUCUCACUUUACUCCCGACCGUAGCACCUGGCUGCGGGGGAGCGAGGCUGUCCAGGCUUCUCCAGAGCGCUCCGCCACUUUCCAGGCAAGGGUGACCCAGCGACUGCCUGGCCCAGCUCCCCGCACUCUAAGCGGCCGUCUACGCACGGCUCCGAAGCGCUGCCGUGCGAGCCCUACACGGGAGACCGACCCCAAACCCGCCCCUCCAAACUCUCGCGCGAACAGGCAGCUCCGGAGCGGCUUCCAGGCUGCGAGGACCCCGGUGGAUCGCAGAAGGACCCAGACUUGCGUGGCGAGCAGCUCCACGUGACCACCAGGGGUCAGCCGAAGAAUAGGAGUGGCCUGAAGCAAGGACAGAGCCGUUUGGCAUAAGGACGCGGUCAGAGGCACGUGGGUGUGCCAGUCUAGGUGGGCUAGGACCUUCCAAAAGAAAGGUACCCUGCUAGCCUGUGAGAAGCCCUGGUUUCAAUACCCCGCAAACUACAUCUCCCAGGAAGCACCGCAGCACUUCACAGAUCCUGUUAGUAGCUACAAGUCUUCAGAUAACCUAAGACCUGCAGUUUGUCAGUUUCCCCAACUUUCCUUUUCCGAGGAAACCAUACUGUGCAUCUUAAAAGAAUCUGGUCUUAAGGUAGUAGGCAGCCAUAGCAAAGAGCUAAAAAUAACUGUCCAGCAAAGACAUAACUAUAUUCCUCCAAUAACCUUAACUUUGGACUCCAGAGCUUCACCUUCAUUUCUAGGUGGAAAUUUGAACGCUUGUUUUUUUCCAGUUGUUAUAGAAAGCCAACACAAAGAAAGGAGAGGAGAGCUUAAGUCAGAGCAUCCCACAGUUGCAGGUCUCUAGUGACAUAGAUGACAAGCCAGUAAUACUUUUUUUUUUUUUAUUUUAUAAAACAUGCAUUUUAAAACAAAACUUUAAAAAAUAACAAAACUUGGGACAGGAGAGUGGAUGGAAGACAGAUGCUUCUCAGCUGUCAGCAGGAGUGAAGACAGCAGUCAAGCUGUGUCUAGGACCCAAAGGCCCUUUUGGCAAUGAUGGUGUUGGCAAUACUGGUUUGCUAGGGCCACCAAUAUUCGAUGUCCUGGUCCAUCCAGGCAUCUCUCAAGCAGUCAGAGACUUGAGCUCUCUUGAGCUACUGUUGUAUCCUAUCACUAACCAGGACUUCAGUCCUUAGCCAACUAGGAACUGAGAGUACUGGUUCCAGGAGCGUUUUUUUGCCUGGAUAUUAAUUACCCAGGAUAUUUAUUGAGAAUAUCAAUUUCUUUCCAUUUGGGUCAAUUCUAGACUCUGUUCCUGGCCCGCUAUUUUGCAAAGAAUGAAAAAGGAAUCUGGCACCUCUUCCCUUUACAGCAACUCUGCUGCAUUCCAGUUCUGUUAAUAGCACCAUCUGUAGACCCUGAGCAGGUCCAAUUCUGGAAGCGGGCGAGGACUAGCCAACUUGGGAAACCAUCUCCCAGUUCUGGGGCACAGAACACUGAGGGGAGAGGAGUAGUUCACUGGGAGAGGAUGAGGUCAGAGCGCCAACACUGAGGAGAAGACAGCUGCAUCUGUCAGAGACAAAAUCAAGAGCAUUGACUCUUAAGGUGAGUGGAGAAAAAGUGCCUGGAAUACUUCUUAUGAAGGAAAAGAGGGCAAACCUGCCCCAAACAUUUUAGAAUUAGGCAGGAGGAGGUUAGGAUCAGUGCAGACUUUCAAGAAUACAAUCUAUUUCACUGAAUGUUGGGAGGAUUAAAUGCUUUGUAAACCA